rnacentral:rRNA from 1 species
UACAGGGGGGGCAAGCGUUGUUCGGAAUUACUGGGCGUAAAGGGUCUGUAGGUGGCCAACUAAGUCAUCCGUGAAAUCCCUCAGCUUAACUGGGGAACUGCGUGUGAUACUGGUCGGCUUGAGUGCAGGAGAGGAACGCGGAAUUCCAGGUGUAGCGGUGAAAUGCGUAGAUAUCUGGAGGAACACCGGUGGCGAAGGCGGCAUCCUGGACCAACACUGACACUGAUGAGCGAAAGCCAGGGGAGCAAACGGG